rnacentral:lncRNA from 1 species
GAGCUUUUGCUUGCAAAAGGAUCUUAUGUUGACCCGGUAUCUGCUCGUGGAACACCACUUCAUGUUGCUGCUGGUGGAGGGCAUUAUGGUGCUAUGAAGAUUUUGUUGGACCACAAUGCAGAUGUAAGUUUAAGUACAUACCGUUUCUGCCUCAAGUUACCCUACAUGUUUUGAACUUUAAUUACUUGUGUUUUGCAAUUUUUUCCCUCGGCUAUCUUGUCAUGUUUUUUUUAAUUGAUUGUGUAUGGUUGCUUGAUGCUGCUAUGGUGCUUGUGCUGCAUAGUUAACUCUUGAAAUCCUCAGUACAUUUUUCUUCUAUUCUGCAUGCCCCUCGUUGUGUAGUAGUUGUAAUGCUACAUCUCAUCAUAGUGUCUUGGUAAUAAGUAUGCUUCAUCCACUUCCCUUUCAAUUCAUAGCACUAUACUAUCAAAUGUACAGUGCAUUUCGAAUAUAAUUCUAUUUUUGGAAAUUGAGCAGAGCACAUAAUACUGAACAUCUUCUCAUUUUUGGUCCCUUCAAUGCCAAUUUCCAUGCCUAAAACUACUUAAUAUGGUUACUUUCUUUUUACAUAUUGGCCAUAAUAGAUUAGUCUCUAACUCUCUAUCAUGUAUUGCCAUUUGUUUCUGAGUGCUACCUAGAAUUUUAUGAAGUUUACUUGACCAAUAUGAUAGUAAGCUACAAGGUUCCACAACAUAUUCACACCGUUGUUGACUUCUUGUGUGUUUUGUUAAUGCCAUGGGAGCUGUUUAAUUUUCACUGAAGAGGCUUGCUUCGGUACGCCCCCUCUGAAAAGAUCUUUUCACAAACCCAAUUCUACCUGCAUCUGCAAAUUCUACCCUCGCACAAUCUUUCCCUGUCGGCUCAUCCAUCUUCCCAUAUAAGCUGUGGGUGUGACCGUGUGAGGGCGCUGUUGCCUCCCAAAUCGUUCUCACUGAUGGCGUGAUGCAUCAUCUUCUUCGUUCUCUAGUUGUGGUUCCAUAUUCAGGUUUUAGUACCUUCUCUUAUUGAUGGCUGCAUUGCUUUGUUCUCAACAUAGGAGAAGAGUCGUUGCCGGCUUGUUCCUCAAUGAUUGCCACAUGAUGGGUGAUCGAUGGAGAUCUGAUUUCUCUCUGAUCGGGUUUAAGCCCAAUCCGAUCAUAGUCGGUUGUGACCCCCAGGGCGGUGAUGCGAUCUAGCAGUUCAUUUAAGGCUGAUACAUCUGCCGAAUUCAUCUUGUCAGAGUAUUCAGGGCCGAUGCAGAGAUGAUUUUUGGUGAUGAGUUGGGCCGCUUCUAGCUUAAAGGCCGGGUGAGCACCCAUGAUGAAGCUGCCGAGUCGGAGAGUUUGCCCUAAAGCUAGGGCUUCUCCGAAAGUGAUGGUGUCUUUGAUGACAAGGCGAGCCAUCAAUCCUUCUGUCGACGGCAUAGAGGAACUCUCAAUGAAAGCACCAAUGUCGGUGUCAAAACCGGCAGAUCUCAGGUAGGGGGUCCCGAACUGUGUGUCUAAGGAUUAAAGGUAACAAGGAGGCAGGGGACACGAUGUUUACCCAGGUUCGGGCCCUCUUAAUGGAGGUAACACCCUACUUCCUGCUUGAUUGACUUUUAUGAGUAUAGGGGUUACAAGAGUCGAUCUACCUCGAGAUCGUAAUGGCUAAACCCUAGAUGUCUAGCAUGUAUGAUUGUGAUCGUCCCUAAAGACUAACCCCUCUGGUUUAUAUAGGCACCAGAGGGGACUAGGCGGGUACAAAGUCAGUUUACAGAGGAAGGAAACUACACAUCCGGAUGCCAAGCUUGCCAUCCACGCAAAGGAGAGUCCCAUCCGGACGCGGGAGAAAGCCUUCGGUUAUGUAUCUUCACGGCCCAUCAAUCCGGCCCAUGUUACAUAGGCUGGCUCUCCGAGGACCCCAUAAUCCAGGAGUCCCUCACCUGCCACGACGCUCUGCAUGGAACUGCACCAACUGACAGCUCCACCAUUCAACAAAAAUAUGUAUCCGGAUUGUGAUUUAUUAUCAUCUGGAUCAGUGUCAAAGCUAGCUUCGACGUAACCACUUAUGACAAGCUCUUUGUCACCUCCAUAAAUGAGAAACAUAUCCCUAGUCCUUUUAAGGUACUUCAGGAUGUUCUUGACCGCUGUCUAGUGAUCCACUCCUGGAUUACUUUGGUACAUCCUUGCUAAACUUAUAUCAAGGCACACAUUAGGUCUGGUACACAGUAUAGCAUACAUGAUAGAACCUAUGGCUGAACCAUAGGGAAUGACUUUCAUUUUCUCUCUAUCUUCUGCAGUGGUCGGGCAUUAAGUCUGACUCAACUUCACACCUUGUAACAUAGGCAAGAACCUUUCUUUGACUGAUCCAUUUUGAACUUCUUCAAAACUUUAUCAAGGUAUGUGCUUUGUGGAAGUCCUAUCAAGCCUUCUUGAUCUAUCUCUAUAGAUCUUGAUGCCCAAUAUAUAAGCAGCUUCACCGAGGUCUUUCAUUGAAAAACUCUUAUUCAAAUAUCCUUUUAUGCUAUUCAGAAAUUCUACAUCAUUUCCAAUCAAUAAUAUGUCAUCCACAUAUAAUAUUAGAAAUGCUAUAGAGCUCCCACUCACUUUCUUGUAAAUAUAGGUUUCUCCAAAAGUAUGUAUAAAACCAUAUGCUUUGAUCACCUCAUCAAAUAUUCCAACUCCGAGAUGCUUGCACCAGUCCAUAAAUGGAUCGCUGGAGCUUGACACUUUGUUAGCACCUUUAGGAUUGACAAAACCUUCUGGUUGCAUCAUAUAUAACUCUUCUUUAAGAAAUCCAUUAAGGAAUACAGUUUUAACAUCCAUUUGCCAGAUUUUCAUAAUCAUAAAAUGCGGCAAUUGCUAACAUGAUUUGGACAGACUUAAGCAUCACUAUGGGUGAGAAAGUCUCAUCAUAGUCAACUCCUUGAACUUGUCAAAAACCCUUUGCAACAAGUUGGACUUUAUAGACAGUAACAUUACCAUCAGCGUUAGUCUUCUUUUUGAAGAUCCAUUUAUUCUCUGUGGGUCGCUGAUCAUCGGGCAGAUCCACCAAAGUUCACACUUUGUUCUCAUACGUGGAUCCUAUCUCAGAUUUCAUGGCCUCAAGCCAUUUAUCGGAAUCUGGGCUCAUCAUAGCUUCUUCAUAGUUCAUAGGUUCGUCUUGGUCAAGUAACAUGACCUCCAGAAUAGGAUUACCAUACCACUCUGGUGCGGAUCGUGCUUUGUCAGACCUACAAGGUUCUGUAGCAACUUGAUCUGUAGUUUCAUGAUCUUUAUCAUUAGCUUAUUCUCCAGUUAGUGUAGGCAUCAUGGGAACAAAUUUCUUGGUUGAGCUACUUUCCAAAUUGAGAGCAGGUACAUUUACCUCAUCAAGUUCUACUUUCCUCCCACUCACUUCUUUCGAGAGAAACUCCUUCUGUAGAAAGGUUCCAUUCUUAGCAACAAAAAUCUUGCCUUCGGACUUGUGCUAGAAGGUGUACCCAAUUGUUUCCUUAGGGUAUCCUAUGAAUAUACAUUUCUCCGAUUUGGAUUCAAGCUUAUCGGGCUGAAGCCUUUUGACAUAAGCAUCGCAUCCCCAAACGACAGCUUAGGUUAGUUUCCAAACCACAGUUCAUACGGUGUCAUCUCAACGGAUUUUGACGGUGCCCUGUUCAAAGUAAAUGCAGCUAUCUCUAAUGCAUAACCCCAAAAUGAUAGUGGUAAAUCGGUAAGAGACAUCAUAGAUCGCACCAUAUCCAAUAAAGUGCGGUUACGACGUUCGGACACACCAUUACGCUGUGGUGUUCUAGGUGGCGUGAGUUGUGAAACUAUUCCACAUUGUUUUAGAUGAAGGCCAAACUCGUAACUCAAAUAUUCUCCUCCAUGAUCAGAUCGUAGAAACUUUAUUUUCUUGUUACAAUGAUUCUCCACUUCACUCUGAAAUUCUUUGAACUUUUCAAACGUUUCAGACGUGUUUCAUUAAGUAGAUAUACCCAUAUCUGCUCAAAUCAUCUGUGAAGGUCAGAAAAUAAUGAUACCCGCCACGAGCAUCAACACUCAUUGGACCGCAUACAUCGGUAUGUAUUAUUUCCAAUAAGUCACUAGCUCAUUCCAUUGUUCCAAAGAACAGAGUUUUAGUCAUCUUGCCCAUAAGGCACGGUUCACAAGUACCAAGUGAUUCCAAAAGUCCAUCUUUAUGGAGUUUCUUCAUGCGCUUUACACCGAUAUGACCCAAAUGGCAGUGCCACAAAUAAGUUGCACUAUCAUUAUCAACUUUUCAUCUUUUGGCAUUAAUGUUAUGAAUAUGUGUAUCAUCAUGAUCAAGAUUCAAUAGAAAUAGACCACUCUUCACGGGUGCAUGACCAUAAAAGAUAUUACUCAUAUAAAUAGAACAACCAUUAUUCUUUGAUUUAAAUGAAUAAAUGUCUCGCACUAAACAAGAUCCAGAUAUAAUGUUCGUGCUCAACGCUGGCACCAAAUAACAAUUAUUCAGGUCUAAAACUAAUCCCGAAGGUAGAUGUAGAGGUAGCGUGCUGACGGCGAUCACAUCAACCUUGGAACAAUUUCCAACGUGCAUCGUCACCUAGUCCUUAGCCAAUCUUUGCUUAAUCCAUAGUCCAUGCUUUGAGUUACAAAUAUCAGCAACCGAGUAGGUAUCAAAUACCGAGGCACUACUAUGAAAAUUAGUAAGGUACACAUCAAUAACAUGUAUAUCAAAUAUACCUUUGUUCACUUUGCCAUCCUUCUUAUCUGCCAAAUACUUGGGGUGGUUCCGCUUCCAGUGACCAGUCCCUUUGCAGUAGAAGCACUCAGUUUCAGGCUUGGGUCCAUUUUUAGGUUUCUUCAUGGGAGUGAUAACUUACUUGUCAGUCUUUUUGAAGUUCCCCUUCUUUUUAUCCUUGCCCUUCUUCUUGAAACUAGUGGUCUUGUUAACCAUCAACACUUGAUGCUCCUUCUUGAUUUCUACCUCCGCAGCCUUUAGCAUUGCGAAGAGCUCGGGACUAGUCUUUUCCAUCCCUUGCAUAUUGUAGUUCAUCACGAAGCCUUUGUACCUUGGUGGCAGUGAUUGAAGAACUCUGUCAAUGACACAAUCAUCUGGAAGAUUAACUCCCAGCUGAGUCAAGUUAUUAUGGUACCCAUACAUUAUGAGUAUGUGCUCACUAACAGAAUUGUUCUCCUCCAUCUUGCAGUUAUAGAACUUGUUGGAGACUUCAUAUCUCGCAACUCGGCAUUUGCUUGAAAUAUUAACUUCAACUCCUAGAACAUCUCACAUGGUCCAUGACGUUCAAAACAUCUUUGAAGUCCCAAUUCUAAGACAUAAAGCAUGGCACACUGAACUAACAACUAGUCAUCAACACACGACUGUCAGGCAUUCACAGUGUCUGUAGUUGCUGGGGCAGGUGGUACACCUAGCAGUGCAUCAAGGACAUAAUUCUUCUGUGUAGCAAUGAGGAUAAUCCUCAAGUUAUGGACCCAGUCCGUGUAGUUACUGCCAUAAUCUUUCAACUUAGCUUUCUCUAGGAACGCAUUAAAACUCAAAGAAAUGGUAGCACGGGCCAUUGGUCUACAAUGUAGAUAUGCAAAAAAACUAUCAGGGCUAAGUUCAAUUAAUCAUAUUACUUAAGAACUCCCACUUAGAUAGGCAUCCCUCUAGUCAUCUAAAUGAUACGUGAUCCAAAUCAACUAAACCAUGUCUGAUUAUCAAGUGAGAUAGAGUAGUCUUCAAUGGUGAACAUCACUAUGUUGAUCAUAUCUACUAUAGGAUUCACGUUCAGCCUUUCGGUCUCCAGUGUUCCGAGGCCAUAUCUGUAUAUGCUAGGCUCAUCAAGUUUAACCCGACUAUUCCGUGUGUGCAAAUCUGGCUUGCAUCCGUUGUAUUUGAGCGUAGAGCUUAUCACACCCAAUCAUCACGUGGUGUCUCAGCACGAAGAAUUUUCGCAAUAGUGCAUACUCGGGGAGAACACUUGUACCUGAAAUUUUAGUGAGGGAUCAUCUUAUAAUGUUGCCGCCGUGCUAAGCAAAAUAAGAUGCAUAAAAUAUAAACAUCACAUGCAAUCAAAAAUAUAUGUGACAUGAUAUGGCCAUCAUCAUCUUGUGCUUUUGAUCUCCAUCAUCGAAGCAAUGUCAUGAUCUCCAUCGUCACCGGCUAGACACCUUGAUCUCCAUCGUAGCGUCGUGGUCAUCUCGCCAACCAUUGCUUCUACGACUAUUGCUACCGCUUAGUGAUAAAGUAAAGCAAUUGCAUAUCGCUUGUAUUUCAUACAAUAAAGCGACAACCAUAUGGCUCUUGCCAGUUGCCGGUAACUUUUACAAAACAUGAUCAUCUCAUACAACAAUCUUUAUAUCACAUCAUGUCUUGACCAUAUCACAUCACAACAUGCCCUGCAAAAACAAGUUAGAUGUCCUCUACUUUGUUUGUUGCAAGUUUUACGUGGCUGCUACGGGUUGCCAGCAUGAACCAUACAUACCUACGGCACAAAAACCACACCGGUGAUUUAUCAAGUUUGCUGUUUUAACCUGCACAAGGACCGGCCGUAGUCCAAUUCAAUUCAACUAAAGUUGGAGAAACAGACACCCUCCAGCCACCUUUAUGCAAAACUAGUUGCAUGUCUGCCGGUGGAACCGGUCUCAUGAAUGCGGUCAUGUAAGGUUGGUCCGGGCUGCUUCAUCCAACAAUAUCACCACCCACAACUCUUUGUGUUCUACUCGUGCAUAUCAUCUAUGCAUAGACCUGGCUCGGAUGCCACUGUUAGGAAACAUAGCAUGCAAUUUCAAAAAAAUCCUAUGACCAUGCAAGAUCUAUCUAGGAGAUGCCUAGCAACAAGAGGGGAGAGUGCAUCCACGUACCCUCGUGGACCGAAAGCGGAAGCGUUAACUUAACGCAGUUGAUGUAGUCGAACGUCUUCUCGAAUCAACCGAUCAAGUACCGAACGUACGACACCUCCGAGUUCUGCACAUGUUCAGCUCGAUGACGUCCCUUGAAAUCUUGAUCCAGUAGAGGCACGAAGGAGUCGAUGAGUUCCGUCGGCACGACGGCGUGAUGAUGGUGUUGGUGAAGUGAUCCACGCAGGGCUUCGCCUAAGCACUACGUCAGUAUGACCGGAGGAGUAAACGGUGGAGGGGGGCACCACACACGGCUAAACAGUUGAUGUGUAUUGGGGUACCCCUCACCCUCGUAUAUAAAGGAGGAGGGGAGGAGGCCAGCCACAAGGGGCCAAGGAGGGGGAUUCCUACUAGGACUCCACUCCUAGUAGGAUUCGCCCCCCCCCCAUCCUAUUUUCCUUCUUCCUGAGGGGGAAAAGGGGAAAGAGAGAGGGAAGAGGAGAAGGAAAGGGGGCGCGCCCCCUCCCCUAGUCCAAUUCGGACUCCCUAUGAGAAGGGGGCACGACCACCCCUUGUGGGCUGCCUCCCCUCUCUCCUACGGCCCAUGUAGGCCCAACAAUUCCCCGGGGGGUUCCGGUAACCUCUCGGUACUUUCAAAAAUAUCCGAACCUUUCCGAAACCAUUUUGGUGUCUGAUAUAACCUUCCAAUAUAUCAAUCUUUACCUCUCGACCAUUUAGAGACUCCUCGCCAUGUCCGUGAUCUCAUCCAGGACUCUGAACAACCUUCGAUCACCAAAACACAUAACUCAUAUAAUACCUAUCGUCAUCGAACGUUAAGCAUGCAGACCCUACGGGUUCGAGAACUGUGUAGACAUGACCGAGACACCUCUCUGGUCAAUAACCAAUAGCGGAACAUGGAUGCUCAUAUUGUUUCCCACAUAUUCUACGAAGAUCUUUAUCGGUCGAACCGAAAUGUCAACAUAGUUGUUCCCUUUAUCAUCGGUAUAUGUUACUUGCCCGAUAUUUGAUUGCCGGUAUCUUCAUACCUAGUUCAAUCAUUAUCGGCAAGUCUCUUUACUCGUUCCAUAGUGCAUCAUUGUGCAACUAACUCAUUAGUCACAUUGCUUGCAAGGCUUCAUAUGAUGUGCAUUACCGAGAGGGCCCAGAGAUACCUCUCCGAUACUCGGAGUGACAAAUCCUAAUCUCGAUCUAUGCCAACCCAACAAACACCUUCAAAGAUACCUGUAGAGCAUCUUUAUAAUCACCCAGUUACGUUGUGACGUUUGAUAGCACACAGGGCAUUCCUACGGUGUCCGGGAGUUGCAUAAUCUCAUAGUCGGAGGAAUAUAUAUUUGACAUGAAGAAACCAGUAGCAAUAAACUGAACGAUCAUUAUGAUAAGCUAACGGCUGGGUCUUAUCCAUCACAUCAUUCCACUAACGAUGUGAUUCCGUUAUCAAAUGACAACUCAUGUCCAUGGCUAGGAAACUUAACCAUCUUUGAUCAACGAGCUAGUCUAGUAGAGGCAUACUAGGGACACGUUGUUUUGUCAAUGUAUUCACACAUGUAUCAAGCUUCCGGUUAAUACAAUUCUAGAAUGAAUAAUAAACAUUUAUCAUGAAUAAGGAAAUAUAAAAUAACAACUUUAUUAUUGACUCUAGGGCAUAUUUCCUUCAUGGUGUCAUGUCAUGGCACCAACAUGUUGUGCUAUAUUUUUUGGCCGAAUUGGGACAACUUUUGGUAUAAGCUUCUUGCAAACCGGAGAUUCUCUCAAGAAGGCUCAUGAUUCGGAGUGGGAAUGUGUCACCUUUGUGUGCGAAAUGACAUACGCUAUCCCCCUGCUGAUUUUGUUUUACAGAGCCAACAUAGAACUAUAUGAGUGUCAUGUUAAAAUUUGGAAUUAUUCCUGGUUUGUUUGUCCUUUUUUAUACAUUAAUUGAGUUUCCGGGCAUUUAAUGUGCAUAAUUCAAAUUUGAACUACAAGCACAUGCUCCAGUGCACCAAAGUUGGUUGAAAAAUCGCAUGUGUGUCCUUGGGUGAAUUUCUAGGUCUUGUGCAAGAAAUGAGAAUGAAAUUCAAACAUCUGGGCAUCGUGGCUCAAUCGGAAACAUUGAGAAACUUGGUUUUUAAAUUCCUGUAAAUCCAAAACGCGCAUGAAAAUUAUGAAACUUUGCAUGGUGUCAUGUCAUGGCACCAACAUGUUGUGCUAAUUUUGGCGGAAUUGGGACAAGUUUUGGUAUAAGGUUCUUGCAAACCGGAGUUUCUCUCAAGAAGGCUCGUGGUUCCGAGAGGGAACGAGCCACCUUUGUGUGCGAAACAACAUACGUUGCCCCCCUCUUGAUUUUUUUAUAGAGCAAACAUAGAACUAUAUGAGUGUCGUGUGAAAAUUUGGAAUUAUUCUAGGUUCGUUCGGCCUUUUUAUACAUUAAUUGAGUUUUGGGGCAUUUAAUGUGCAUAAUUAAAAUUUCAACUACAAGCACAUGCUCCAGUGCACCAAAGUUGGUUGAAAAAUCACAUGUGUGUCCUUGGGUGAAUUUGUAUGUCCCAUGCAAGAAAUGAGAAUGAAAUUCAAACAUCUGGGUAUCGUGGCUCGGCCGGAAACAAUGAGAAACUUGGUUUUUAAAUUCUUGUAAAUCCAAAACAUGAAUGAAAAUCAUGAAACUUGGCAUGGUUUCAUGUCAUGGCACCAACAUGCUAUGGUAAAUUUUUUGGCUGAAUUGGGACAAGUUUAGGUAUAAGUUUCCAGUAAACCGAAGCUUCUCUCAAGAAGGCUCGUGGUUCCGAGAGAGAACGAGCUACCUUUGUGUGUGAAACAACAUACGUUGUCCCCCUCUUGAUUUUUUAUAGAGCCAGCAUAGAACUAUAUGAGUGUCAUGUUAAAAUUUGGAAUUAUUCCGGGUUCGUUUGACCUUUUUAUACAUUAAUUGAGUUUCUAGGCAUUUAAUGUGCAUAAUUCAAAUUUGAACUACAAGCACAUGCUCCAGUGCACCAAGGUUGGUUGAAAAAUUACAUGUGUGUCCUUGGUGAAUUUCUAGGCCCCAUGCAAGAAAUGGGAAUAAAAUUCAAACAUCUGGGUGUCGUGGCUCGGCCGGAAACAUUCAGAAACAUGGUUUUGAAAUUCCUAUAAAUCCAAAACACGCAUGAAAAUCAUGAAACUUGGCAUGGUGUCAUGACAUGGCACCAACAUGCUAUGGUAAUUUUUUUGGCCGAAUUGGGACGAGCUCUGGUAUAAGCUUCUUGCAAACCGGAGCUUCUCUCAAAAGGCUCAUGGUUCCGAGAGGGAACGUGUCACCUUCGUGUGCAAAAUGACAUACGCUGCCUUCCCCUCUUGAUUUUUUUCCAGAGGCCACAUAGACCAAUAGGAUUUUUCUGCUAAAUCUUGGAAUUAUUCCAGGUUCGUUUGGUCUUUUUUCUAUUAAUAGGCAUUUCUGGGCAUUUAAUGCACAUAAUUCUAAUUUGAACUACAAGCACAUGUUCCAGUGCACCAAAAUUGGUUAAAAAUCAUUUAUGUGUACUUGGGUGAAUUUCUAGGUCCCAUGCAACAAAUGAGAAUGGAAUUCAAACAUCUGGGCGUCGUGGCUCGGCGAGAAACACCGAGAAACUUGAUUUUUAAAUUCCUGUAAAUCCAAAACUCGCCUGAAAAUCAUGAUACUUGGCAUGGUAAUUAUGACAUGGCACCAACAUGUUUUGGUAAUUUUUUUGUCCGAUUUGCAAAGGCGCACACAUUAACAACCAACAAAGUCAUUUUGAAACAAGUGUUGUCACGUUACAAUCAGAAACACAAGUAUUAUUGAAACCGUGGGCGUUCUACUUACCUUCUAUGUGCCGCCACGCGUCCUCUUUGUUUAUUGGUUAGGAGGCGCCAUGUGGAGUAGCUAUUUGAGUACGGGAGGCAUGUGACCAGAUCCCUGCGCGUGCUUAUCGGGAGGAGAGCCCUUUGACCCCCAUGCGCCGCCCACCUCUCUCCCAACGUCUCCAUUAAUGGCGCCCGAGCCCCUGUUUUAUGGCGUGGCUAUGUCUCACUCCACUGAGAUUUAAGAAGAAGAAAGAAAAUCUAAAAAUAAAAUUUUGCCCGGAUAUUGAUGUAAGAUCUGACGACAUAUAUAGCAUCGACUGCGACUUGUAGCAAGACUGAUAUGAAUAUAUAAGGAUGACGAUAGUGGGUAGUAAUUGUCUUACAUAUUUAGGAAGAUAAAAAAAUGCCACAUGCGACAACGCCUGAAAUACACAAGGGCAAUAGAAAAAGGAAGACGCAGACAAUGAUCUGGCUCAUUGAUCUCUAUUUUCUUGAUGCAUUGCUGCAGGGUGCGGAGACUAGUUCUCGCGGCGAGCAGCAAUGAAAUCUUUCAUGUCCUCAGUAUGCUGGUUGAGAGCGUCCACGGAUUCCUCCACCAACCUUUCGCGCUUAAUGCGGAGCAUGGCAUUAUCGUCCAUAAGUUUCUUGACGAUGAUGCUCGCCCUCUUCAACAAGGUAGUGGUCUCAUCGUGCUGCUUCGUCCUUCUAGUGGUCUUCGCCCUCAGUAGGUCGAGCUCGGCGCGGAGCUUCACCUUGUCCUCCCCUAGUCCUGGGAUGAGGCCGGUAGCCUUUUCAAACGAGGUAUUCAUCUCGUCCUGCAACUUCAUCCAGUCGGGGAUCCGAUCCAUCGGGUCAUAAAGCAUAGUGCGCACGCGCCUGUGAGAGUCCUCGCCUCCCUGCAAGACAAUUUCCCAGGCCCGAUCGACACUUCCACGAAGAGAAAUUUGAUUUCCCCCCUCUAAUCCCUUGCGGAUCUUGUUACUAUUGGGUGUUUGAGCACCCUAGACGGUCAAGGUCACCUGGGAGCAACAUUCCAUUGUGUUGAAGCUUCGUGGUGGUGUUGGGGAGCCUUCAAUUCGGUUCUAGAGAGAGCCCCAACCUUGUUUGCAAAGGUCCGGUUGCCGCCUUCAGGGGCACCACUAGUGGAUUCCCGACAUCUCGCAUUGUGUGAGGGUGUGAGGAGAAUACGGUGGCCCUAGUGGCUUCUUGGGGAGCAUUGUGCCUCCACACCGCUCCAACAGAGACGUACUUCCCCUCAAAGGGAAGGAACUUCGGUAACACAUCCUCGUCUUCACCGGCUCCACUUGUUGUUAUUUCUUACCUUUACUUUGUGCAAGCUUUAAUUAUGUUGUAUCCUUUUCUUGCUUGCUUGCUUGUGUUGUUGUUGCUAGCAUCAUAUAGGUUGCUCAUCUAGUUGCAUAUCUAGACAACCUAUUUGUUGUUGAACUUAAUUUGUUAAGAAAAGCUAAAGAUUGGUAAUUGCCUAUUCAUCCCCCUCUAGUCAAACAUAUUGAUCAUUUCAAGAUCUAUCCGAGUGAGGAUAAUUCAUCGUGGGCGUAGGCCAUGAUGGAAUAAACAAGGUUGCUUCUUCAUGGACCCUUCGUGGGUGGAGCCUUCUGUGGACUCAUGCAACCUUUACCCUAUGUGGGUUGAAGUCUCCAUCAACGUGGAUGUACGAUAUCACCACCUAUCGGAACCACGCCAAAAAUCACCGUGUCUUCAUUGCGUUUGAUCUUACAUCUCUACUCCUUUACUUUCCGCACUAUUGCAUGUUGUAUUCUUUCUGCUGCUCUAUCUCUAGAUAUGCAUGUGUAAAAAGUCUUGGUAGUAUCUUAACUAGUGUCAAAAUCUGCCUAAAUUUCAUGAACUAAAAAUUGCACCUUUGGUCAGUUAAGUGCCUAUUCACAUCCCUCUAGACUUAUCUUCUCGAUCAUACAUACACCCUCUCUUAUCCACAGAUGAAAAAAACAUACACACUCUCUCCCCUUUAUCCCCACCGAACACUCAACACUCGACCCAACAUCAAAAAAAUCCACGCGACAGAGUGCAUCCUCAUCGUUGCGGCCUCCCCCGCCUCGCGUUUUACUCGGUCCAACCUUCUCUUCCUCACACCCUUGCCGCAUAGGAUUGUUCUGCCUCGCCGCCAUAUUUGCCUGAUCUCCUCCCCCCCCUAGCGAACAUGAUGCAGGUGGCAACAGUUGGGCAUGCAGAUGCGGAGGGAUACCAUGGUGUGGUGACGACUUUGGCCGCGGGUGGCUCAAACUGGUGCCAUAAUGUCGUCCCUUCUGAGGCACAUGCGGAGGUGAUGUUGGACGUAGCGAUGCCCUUCUCCUUGGUGGUAACCGCUGAUAUGUCUCCAACGUAUCUAUAAUUUUUUAUUGUUCCAUGCUAUUAUAUUAUCCAUCUUGAAUGUUAUAUAUGCAUUUAUAUGAUUUUUGGGACUAACCUAUUAACCUAGAGCCCAGUGCCAGUUUCUGUUUUUUCCUUAUUUUUGAGUUUCGCAGAAAAGGAAUACCAAAUGGAGUCCAAAUGACCUGAAACUUUACAGUGAUUUUUUAUGGACCAGAAGAAGCCCACAGAGCAUCGGAGACGGACCAGAAGAGUCCCGAGGCCACCACAAGGACAGGGGCACGCCCUACCCCCUGGGCGCGCCCCCAUCCUUGUGGUCGCCUCACGGACCCCCUGACUUGUCCCUGAUGGCAAUAAUUCCUAUAAAUACCAAAACCCCCAGAAACAAACCUAGAUCAAGAGUUCCGCCGCCGCAAGCCUCUGUAGCCAUGAAAAACCUCUUGGGACCCUGUUCCGGCACCCUGCCGGAGGGGGGAUCCAUCACCGGUGGCCAUCUUCACCAUCCUGGGCUCUCCAUGACGAGGAGGGAGUAGUUCACCCUUGGGGCUGAGGGUAUGUACCAGUAGCUAUGUGUUUGAUCUCUCUCUCUCUCUCUCCCUCUCUCUCUCGUGUUCUUGAUUUGGCACGAUCUUGAUGUACCGCGAGCUUUGCUAUUAUAGUAGGAUCUUAUGAUGUCUCUCCCCUCUACCUUCUUGUAAUGGAUUGAGUUUCCCUUUGAAGUUAUCUUAUCGGAUUGAGUCUUUAAGGAUUUGAGAACACUUGAUGUAUGUCUUGCAUGUGCUUAUGUACGGUGACAAUGGGAUAUUCACGUGAUCCACUUGAUGUAUGUUUUGGUGAUCAACUUGCCGGUUCUGUGACCUUGUGAACUUAUGCAUAGGGGUUGGUACACGUUUUUUUCUUGACUCUCCGGUAGAAACUUUGGGGCACUCUUUGAAGUUCUUUGUGUUGGUUCGAAUAGAUGAAUCUGAGAUUGUGUGAUGCAUAUUGUAUAACCAAACCUAUGGAUACUUGUGGUGACAUUGGAGUAUCUAGGUGACAUUAGGGUUUUGGUUGAUGUGUAUCUUAAGGUGUUAUUUUAGUACGAACUCUAGGGCUGUUUGUGGUACUUAUAGGAAUAGCCCAAUAGAUCGAUCAGAAAGAAUAACUUUGAGGUGGUUUCGUACCCUACAAUAAUCUCUUUGUUUGUUCUCCGUUAUUAGUGACUUUGAAGUGACUCUUUCUUGCAUGUUGAGGGAUUGUUAUAUGAUCCAAUUAUGUUAUCAUUGUUGAGAGAACUUGCACUAGUGAAAGUAUGAACCCUAGGCCUUGUUUCCAAGCAUUGCAAUACCGUUUUCGCUCACUUUUACCACUCUCUACCUUACUAUUUUUAUAUUUUCAGAUUGCAAAAACCUAUAUCUACCAUCCAUAUUGCAUCUGUAUCACCAUCUCUUUGCCGAACUAGUGCACCUAUACAAUUUACCAUUGUAUUGGGUGUGUUGGGGACACAAGAGACUCUUUGUUAUUUGGUUGCAGGGUUGUUUGAGAGAGACCAUCUUCAUCCUACGCCUCCCACGGAUUGAUAAACCUUAGGUCAUCCACUUGAGCAAAAUUUGCUAUUAUCCUACAAAACUCUGCGCUUGGAGGCCCAACACGAUUCUACAAGAAUAAUGUUGCGUAGUAGACAUCAAGCUCUUUUCUUGCGCCGUUGUCGGGGAGGCUAGGUAAGCAGCACUCACAUCCCGUCAAUGAAGCUCUUUUCUGGUGUAGUUGCCGGGGUGGUGAGUGCUUGAAGGUAUAUCUUUAGAUCUUGCAAUUGAAUCUUUUAGUUUCUUGAUCACUAGUAACUAGAAGACUAGGCCCGUAAGGGUAUGAUUUUUCUGGUUUUUUCGGUAUUUCUUUUACCCCUGCCGAUUGAGCGACACGUGUGCACAGUGGCUUUCGUGAAGUGGUUGAUAUCUUCUCUCUUGGGUUGUGCACGUUUCUUCUGGAGGUGCAUGGGCUUAUCUUGUCUUAUGUGUCUCAUGUGAAAAGAUGGUUUGACUGCAUGGGCUGGUUUUGUCUCAUGUGAAAAAAAUAUUAGCUGCAUGGGCAUGGGCUGGUAUACGUGUGGUGCUGCAUGGGCAUGGGUUGGUAUACGUGUGGCGCUGCAUGGGCAUGGGUUGGUAUAGCGUGUGGUGCUGCAUGGCUCAUGCAUGCAUGCAUGUGUCCACCUUUGCAUGUUUGUAGUUCCAGGUUUGCACACGUUUGUGUUCUGGAUCCUUCUUUGCUCGCCUAUAAAUAGCUCAUUGUUGUGUUCUUCUCUCGUGUGUACUUCUAGGUCUCUAGUCACGGCUGCGUCCAAACCACUCCUCAUCUAUAGGCCCAUCUCUCCUCCUGAUGCUACCCUCUAGCCUCCACCCGAGAUCCCACGACGCGCUAGGUUGCCGCUCUGGCUGGCCGGUUGGGAGGUGCGUGCAGGCUACACAAUGGAUCGGAGAGCCGCGUGCCAUCCUCUCCUCAUGGAUCUUCCUCGGCUCCGGCUCCGUCCCUGGCCUCCAAGGCGGAUACACGGUGGUGGCCUCCCCGUGGUCCAAGUUGGCACGCCUGCAGCUGACGCUGGAUAGCUUCCUACCCUGUCACGCUCCAUCCUAAUCACCUUCUCUCGGCCUUCCCCAGCUUUGGCCCCGGCAGCAGGUCCCCUCCAUCCGCCCCACGGCCGCGAUUCCUGCCUCGCUACUUCAGUUUCAAGUUGUUCCUUGCGAAGGUAGACAUCGCAUCUACAUUUCCUCUCCUCUAGUCUGCAUGGUUUCCCUAAACAAGUAGAUGAGUUAUUAGUACUAUAAUUUCAUCAGAUAUAAAGUUGGGUGCAUAUGCUGCAAAUUCUUAAUCUAAGAAGAAUGUUCAGGUGUUGGGUGCAGGUCUGUAGUGAGGACACAAAUUUGGGGGUCCAGCUCCUUGAGUGAAUGUGCAAGGAAUUCAGAACCUGCAUCUUUAAUAUAACAUGGUUUAUUUAUCCUUAAUCUCUCCAUUAAGUUGUGUUCCAUUUUCUUGAUGGAAGUAAUCCUGGUUUAAUUUCACAUGAUGUUUAAACAAAUAAACACAUGAUGUGCUGAAUAUCUGACAUACUAGGAAAUGGUACAGCUUGAUGACUAUUGCAGUACUACAUUAUUUUCAGGUAUUUAUUGUUCCUUCUGUGAUAGUUUUCUCUCUCCUAAAAGUAAAAUGAAUCAUUUUUAAUCCUUUGAGCAAGGUUGCCCAAAGUAGGGCGCUCAGCCAUUGAGGCAUUAUCAAUUUCUUUAAGAAGCUUCGCAAAAUCUGCUCUUAUACUAACAAGAUCUAAUGUAGGUUUCUUAGCCUUAUAGGGUACUAUAUACUAAACACAUGAUAUUAAAUAUACAUUACAUUGCGAUGUGAAGUGAGUAUGUAUAUACUAUCCACAUAGGAUUGCCAUUUUUGCUGUUGCUGGGAUAAUCAUGUAUUGGGGUGCAUUCUGAUAAUAAGAUAUUAGAGUAUUGAUAUGUGAUCUGUAUGUCACACUUUACUUCAUCAUCCUUUGUUUUCAGAUGUAUUCUUUAGGCAUAGACUAAUGUGGCAGCUUGGUCAUAUUCUGUAGCUAAUUUAGUCACCACAAUACUCGGAUUUUUUCCCAACUCUCAGUAUAAAGAACUUCCACUUGCCAUCUCUAUAUGGAUUUUCUUUUUGCUACUGAUUUUGGCUAAGGAUUUUUCGGAUCUCAUCUCUACAUGGAUAUGUUUUUUUCAGGUUAGUAGUUUAGGAGUUCCUGCAAACACUGGCUUUUGGAAGUUAUGCUCGCUUCACCAGUAGGUCUUAACACGGACAUACUUAAUUCUAUGUUGGUAAUAAAAAAAUUUGUUUGGAGAAAACAUCUCUUUUGCAUUGUUGUUUGCUUCUGAAUUUUACUAUAUUUUUUUCAUUUUUUUCCAGGUUAGUAGUAUGGGAGUUCCUAUCAAGACUGACUUUUGGAAGUUAUGCUAGCUUCAUCAGUCAAGCUUUCUAUACAAAACUAGACUCAAUGUAAUUUAUUUUGGUGCUUGCAAUGAGUAUUAGACAGAGGGAUGAUGAACACAUACUUCACCCAGUGUAUAGCCAUGGUGGCAAAAAAGAAGACAAAAAAACUCUGUCUGUAUGGUGUUUGUGAUAAUGCUAUCAAUUCACUAAACGCUAAAAUAC